GGUCCAUUGGCGUAAUGUAUUCUGUACUUAAACCCUCCUUCUCCCUUCUCAUUCUAAAUCAAGAAUUCUUCUCAACAGCAGCGCGUCUGACUACGAUGAGUACAUCAGGAGGUUCCAGGUUCGACCCCUGGAUGGAUCG